rnacentral:rRNA from 1 species
AUACGGAGGGUGCAAGCGUUAUCCGGAAUCACUGGGUUUAAAGGGUGCGUAGGCGGCGCUAUAAGUCAGAUGUGAAAUCCCACCGCUUAACGGUGGAACUGCAUUUGAUACUGUAGUGCUUGAAUCAGGCUGAGGUCAGCGGAAUGUGUCAUGUAGCGGUGAAAUGCAUAGAUAUGACAUAGAACACCAAUUGCGAAGGCAGCUGACUAGACCUGUAUUGACGCUGAGGCACGAAAGCGUGGGGAGCGAACAGGAUUAGAAACCCCAGUAGUCC